UUACGGAGGGGCUAGCGUUGUUCGGAAUUACUGGGCGUAAAGCGCGCGUAGGCGGACCUGCAAGUCGGGGGUGAAAGCCCGAGGCUCAACCUCGGAACUGCCUUCGAUACUGCGGGUCUCGAGUCCGGGAGAGGUGAGUGGAAUUCCUAGUGUAGAGGUGAAAUUCGUAGAUAUUAGGAAGAACACCAGUGGCGAAGGCGGCUCACUGGCCCGGUACUGACGCUGAGGCGCGAAAGCGUGGGGAGCAAACAGG
rnacentral:rRNA from 1 species